GGUAUUGAAAUAAGAUUUUAAAUGAGUGCUAAGAGAAUGAUUAAACAAUUAAAAGCUUUCUUUAAUUAAAAAGUUAAAUUUAAUUUUUUUAGUGCAAAAGCAAAAAUAAAAUUUAGGGACAAGAAGACCCUAUGAAUUUUUAUUGUUAAUAAUUAAAAUUUAAGUUAUUAAUAAUUUAAUUGGGGCGAUAAAAAAAGAAUAAGUAUCUUUUUAGUUAUAAAAUAAGUUCCGUUUUUAGCGAUUAAAUGAAAUAAAUACUCUAGGGAUAACAGCGUAAUAAUUUUGGAUAGUUCAUAUAGAUAAAAUAGUUUGCGACCUCGAUGUUGGAUUAGGAUUCU
rnacentral:rRNA from 1 species